ensembl:lncRNA
GCAUUCUUGGAAUCUUUUUCCCCCAUGAUAUUAAGGGAAAUAUUCAUUACGAUAUAUAACCUGGAAAAUUAUCUUAGAUUUUCUCUAGGCCACUGUUUUUAAAUUAAAUGAUUCUAGAAAAAUGUUCAAACUCAUGGCAUGGUGUUUGUAACCAUACAUUAAGGCAAUUCAACUCUGGGCCUCGAGGGCCCUGUUUUCUGUUUCUACCUGCUACAUAAUUGUACUCAUCUUGUGUCUCAGGCAGGCCCAGAUCUAUUGGGGGGUGGGGUACCUCUGAUAGCCUCUGAAUAGCAGGAGAGGUUGUAAACCAAUAAGGGUUUCAGUUUCAAGGACCAAAGUUGAAUAGUCCAGCCAUACAUUAUGUUAGUAGGAACUUCGCUAUAGUAAAACAAAUAAUGUUAAAUAAGCCAUUUCAACUUGAAUUUCAUUGAAUUAAUCUCUACAUCUUUUAAGUGAAUUGCAGUUCGCAACUCAUUUCAGGAUGAACCCAACCCUGAGUCCUACCACUUGUCAAUGUUGUCUGGAGGUCAGUUGUACAGUUUUUUUGUAUAUUAAAUUGUUAGCAGGACUCUGCUUUUACUGGGCUUUUAUUGAGCUCUCGAUCGUGUUAUAAAAAGAGACCUCCCAAGUCCUCUCACUAACUACCAAACAAAAAGAAUGGAAAUCAUUUCAAAUUUGCGAGCAUUGUUUUGUACAUAUGGAUUAAAAACAUUUUAAAAGGGUAUACUAAAGGUGCAAAAUGUAUAUUAUUUAAAACGUUUUAAUAAUUAGACUGUGGUAUUAAAGGGCAUGUGUUCACUUGCAGUGUCUCCAUUUGAUAUUUCUUGCAUAUUUGCGAUAAUAAAAGGAUGUACUGUAUUUUAUGGCUAAGCCUAACCUGUCUUUACUUAAUUCUGUAUAUUUGGAUACUGGGAUGUUGUUUUCAGCUACACUUAAACUGUGUCCAUUACUGAGAGCUCAAAAUUCAUCUGAUAAAACUAUGCAUCACCACAUGUUUGCAGUGCACCAGAAUAGUGCCUGCAUGUGUGAAGCAGGGG